UGCGGGAGCGUGGGCCUCUAGUCCAAUCCCCUCGCCCACACGCUGAACCCCUCCCUCCCUCGAUUUCUCUCCCUCGUCAGCCGUCACAGCAGAGGCCACGAACCCUAGCCCCCUCCCACUCACCGCCUCUCCUCCCGCUUCCCCACCAUUGCCGCGAAUUCUCUAAAGGCUACCACGGAUCCAUGUCUAUUUGGAGGGUACAAGGCAGGGAAGGACGCCAUCGUCGGCCCAUCGCUUAGGCUGGCGGCGCCCGGAUCGGGAAGCAGCAGGGUUGGUGCAGCGGCAAAUGCGAGCGGAGUCGGCCGUGGAGGGAGGUUUGCCGGCUAGAGCAGCAGGAGCAAGGAGGCGUGGUCAGCCGUGAAGGAUGGUCGGAGCGGCAGGACCAACUUCAGCCGCUGCUGGUUGGCCCGAUGCACUCUUCUCUGCCAUGGCCUGCACGCUCGAGAGGGGUAGCUGCACCGUUGCUGGCGGCAAGUUCAGUGGCCGCCGCCUCCUCUCCUCUUCGAAUCAAGUAAGCCCUCUAUUGAGUGUAUCGGCGGUUGACGUGCCCUCAACUAUGGUGAAGCGCCAGGUCCGGGGAGGACAAUAUUUGUUUGAAGGACUCAUUAGGCCCUGAAUAUUUAGCUGAUCUGAGUCGGAGCAGUGGAAUAGCUGAAAUUUUAUAUUGGCGAGAUAAUUAUUGCGCUUGGUCAGAGCCUUCUAGCAGUUCCAAUUAGGUAUUUAUCUAACAAAUUGCGGCUUCGGUUUCCUGGCCAUCUUUCUUUUGGAAAUGGAAGUUGAUGUUUCUUCCUAGGUGAGCUGAGAACUAGGAAGGUGCGGAUAAUAAGAGUUGUUGGCAGAGGCAACCUGCACAUGUGUAAACAGUGGGUAUGGUGGCUCAAAGGGAAGCAGCGGCUGCUCCAUGGAAACGCGCAACUUAGUGAUGAAUAGCGAAGCGCAAGGUCAUGUUCAAGCUGGGGGUUGCACUGAUCAGGAUCACUUUGUCCCAGUUUUCUCUUUUGGUAGCUUGAUUUUGUUUCUUCCUGGUUUGCAGAACAUUCACUUAUGAAAUUGAUUUUCUUGCCAACUUUUCAGGGAUAAGCUGGUAAAUGAAGGAAAUUCUAAAAGAAAGCGACUACAAGCAACAUUUGAAGUGAGCUGGGAGCCGGGGUCAUCCUUCUCACCACCAGUCAAACAUACUACUUCAGCCACCAUGUUGAACAAUAUAAAAGUGUUCUCUAUUUCAGAGAGCAACAACACGAGAUUGUGCCCCCUCUUGCUCCAGCAUUCAAGAAAGAAAUAUUCCAUGCAAGCCUCCAGCUUAUGUGCGGUAGGGAUGGACUCGACAUAAAAAAGUUUCUCUUUGGCUGCUCUGGUAUUGACCCAAGACCCUUGGGUGUUUGUUUGGCCUUAUUGUCAACAGUGUGCAUCAGUUAGUUAUGACCUCAUUUCUUUCAGUGAGAUUUUUUCCUCCCUGAAGGAUAUCCCUGAUGAUGAUAGGGAAUGGUCAAACUAAAAUAACAUAAUUGUAUCAGCAGACUGAACCAGGUUAGUUUGCGUGUGAAGUUCUUCUUUUAGAGAUAAGGCACCAUGUCUUCAUAAAUAAAGCCAUCAAUGGCAAUCAAGUCAGGCUGAAGUUGAGUUAAAAGGGGAGCGUCACCGAUAUUUUCUUGAGGCGGUAUAAUCGCUGAUAAUAUCUUUACGGUUUGUCCUUUGUUUCAGGCAACACAAGUCACACAUGAUAUUAUCCUGUUGGCCUGUUGUUUGGCAUUGGACCAUGGACACAAGGUUCAUAUAAAAUUCUUUGGAUACAGAGUGAGCUCUGAAUUGUUGAAAAAUUGUCCUCCAUAGUUCUGUAUGAGUUAGUUUGUGUUUCUGCAUUCUCAGCAGUUGUCGUCCUUGAAUAAUUUAAGUUAAAGCUAAGAUUGAGAGAGGGUGAGAGAGGUAAUAAACUAUGGCUACAUGGUUUGCAAAAGAAAAAUUGUCAUUGGAGAAGCACACGAUACAUGAAUACGAGAAAGGCAUCACAAUUGAGUUUGGAGAAGAAAAAGGAUACAAGGACAAAGAUCUGUAUUCUGGUCUGAAGCUAAAUUUUUUUGUGGGAUCCAUGUUACUUGAUUCUGUAUUAUGGAAGUAUGACUUGGUCAUAUAUUUACAUUAAUGUUGUCAAGUUGUGAUUUAGCAAUGGGCAUAAUUUCCUAUCAA